CGUACGGGUGAGUAACACGUGGAUCAUCUACCUCUUAGUGGGGAAUAACUCUGGGAAACCGGAGCUAAUACCGCAUAAGCCUGGAAAGGGAAAGCGUUGUCGUAAAAAACGACGCGCUGAGAGAGGAGUCCGCGGCCGAUUAGCUAGUUGGCAGGGUAAAAGCCUACCAAGGCAUUGAUCGGUAGCCGGCCUGAGAGGGCACACGGCCACACUGGCACUGAAACACGGGCCAG
rnacentral:rRNA from 1 species